rnacentral:tmRNA from 1 species
GGGGCCGACCUGGUUUCGACGGGGGUUACAAAGCAAGACAGGGCAUGUCGAGGCUCAGCUACCUCGUAAAUCCAACUGAAAACAACACAAACGCCAACGACGAGCGCUACGCUCUAGCUGCUUAAUU